UUUAUGGAGAGUUUGAUCCUGGCUCAGGAUGAACGCUGGCGGCGUGCCUAAUACAUGCAAGUCGAGCGAACGGACGAGAAGCUUGCUUCUCUGAUGUUAGCGGCGGACGGGUGAGUAACACGUGGAUAACCUACCUAUAAGACUGGGAUAACUUCGGGAAACCGGAGCUAAUACCGGAUAAUAUUUUGAACCGCAUGGUUCAAAAGUGAAAGACGGUCUUGCUGUCACUUAUAGAUGGAUCCGCGCUGCAUUAGCUAGUUGGUAAGGUAACGGCUUACCAAGGCAACGAUGCAUAGCCGACCUGAGAGGGUGAUCGGCCACACUGGAACUGAGACACGGUCCAGACUCCUACGGGAGGCAGCAGUAGGGAAUCUUCCGCAAUGGGCGAAAGCCUGACGGAGCAACGCCGCGUGAGUGAUGAAGGUCUUCGGAUCGUAAAACUCUGUUAUUAGGGAAGAAUAUAUGUGUAAGUAACUGUGCACAUCUUGACGGUACCUAAUCAGAAAGCCACGGCUAACUACGUGCCAGCAGCCGCGGUAAUACGUAGGUGGCAAGCGUUAUCCGGAAUUAUUGGGCGUAAAGCGCGCGUAGGCGGUUUUUUAAGUCUGAUGUGAAAGCCCACGGCUCAACCGUGGAGGGUCAUUGGAAACUGGAAAACUUGAGUGCAGAAGAGGAAAGUGGAAUUCCAUGUGUAGCGGUGAAAUGCGCAGAGAUAUGGAGGAACACCAGUGGCGAAGGCGACUUUCUGGUCUGUAACUGACGCUGAUGUGCGAAAGCGUGGGGAUCAAACAGGAUUAGAUACCCUGGUAGUCCACGCCGUAAACGAUGAGUGCUAAGUGUUAGGGGGUUUCCGCCCCUUAGUGCUGCAGCUAACGCAUUAAGCACUCCGCCUGGGGAGUACGACCGCAAGGUUGAAACUCAAAGGAAUUGACGGGGACCCGCACAAGCGGUGGAGCAUGUGGUUUAAUUCGAAGCAACGCGAAGAACCUUACCAAAUCUUGACAUCCUUUGACAACUCUAGAGAUAGAGCCUUCCUCUUCGGGGGACAAAGUGACAGGUGGUGCAUGGUUGUCGUCAGCUCGUGUCGUGAGAUGUUGGGUUAAGUCCCGCAACGAGCGCAACCCUUAAGCUUAGUUGCCAUCAUUAAGUUGGGCACUCUAAGUUGACUGCCGGUGACAAACCGGAGGAAGGUGGGGAUGACGUCAAAUCAUCAUGCCCCUUAUGAUUUGGGCUACACACGUGCUACAAUGGACAAUACAAAGGGCAGCGAAACCGCGAGGUCAAGCAAAUCCCAUAAAGUUGUUCUCAGUUCGGAUUGUAGUCUGCAACUCGACUACAUGAAGCUGGAAUCGCUAGUAAUCGUAGAUCAGCAUGCUACGGUGAAUACGUUCCCGGGUCUUGUACACACCGCCCGUCACACCACGAGAGUUUGUAACACCCGAAGCCGGUGGAGUAACCUUUUAGGAGCUAGCCGUCGAAGGUGGGACAAAUGAUUGGGGUGAAGUCGUAACAAGGUAGCCGUAUCGGAAGGUGCGGCUGGAUCACCUCCUUUCU
rnacentral:rRNA from 1 species